CACUCGGUCCGGAGUUGAUGGGUUAUCUAUGAAUCUUCUUCUGCUUGCAGAAGGAACCCGUUCUUCAGAUGUAAGUCUGUUGAACACCCCGCAACCCUCAAAAAGUUGCAACCCGAUCCCAUCAACACCAACUUGACCGUUGU
rnacentral:sRNA from 13 species